rnacentral:rRNA from 1 species
AACGCUAGCUACAGGCUUAACACAUGCAAGUCGAGGGGCAGCAUGGUCUUAGCUUGCUAAGGCCGAUGGCGACCGGCGCACGGGUGAGUAACACGUAUCCAACCUGCCGUCUACUCUUGGACAGCCUUCUGAAAGGAAGAUUAAUACAAGAUGGCAUCAUGAGUCCGCAUGUUCACAUGAUUAAAGGUAUUCCGGUAGACGAUGGGGAUGCGUUCCAUUAGAUAGUAGGCGGGGUAACGGCCCACCUAGUCUUCGAUGGAUAGGGGUUCUGAGAGGAAGGUCCCCCACAUUGGAACUGAGACACGGUCCAAACUCCUACGGGAGGCAGCAGUGAGGAAUAUUGGUCAAUGGGCGAGAGCCUGAACCAGCCAAGUAGCGUGAAGGAUGACUGCCCUAUGGGUUGUAAACUUCUUUUAUAAAGGAAUAAAGUCGGGUAUGGAUACCCGUUUGCAUGUACUUUAUGAAUAAGGAUCGGCUAACUCCGUGCCAGCAGCCGCGGUAAUACGGAGGAUCCGAGCGUUAUCCGGAUUUAUUGGGUUUAAAGGGAGCGUAGAUGGAUGUUUAAGUCAGUUGUGAAAGUUCGCGGCUCAACCGUAAAAUUGCAGUUGAUACUGGAUAUCUUGAGUGCAGUUGAGGCAGGCGGAAUUCGUGGUGUAGCGGUGAAAUGCUUAGAUAUCACGAAGAACUCCGAUUG